GACGAACGCUGGCGGCGUGCUUAACACAUGCAAGUCGAACGGAAAGGCCCUGCUUUUGUGGGGUGCUCGAGUGGCGAACGGGUGAGUAACACGUGAGUAACCUGCCCUUGACUUUGGGAUAACUUCAGGAAACUGGGACUAAUACCGGAUAGGAGCUCCUGCUGCAUGGUGGGGGUUGGAAAGUUUCGGCGGUUGGGGAUGGACUCGCGGCUUAUCAGCUUGUUGGUGGGGUAGUGGCUUACCAAGGCUUUGACGGGUAGCCGGCCUGAGAGGGUGACCGGCCACAUUGGGACUGAGAUACGGCGCAGACUCCUACGGGAGGCAGCAGUGGGGAAUAUUGCACAAUGGGCGGAAGCCUGAUGCAGCAACGCCGCGUGCGGGAUGACGGCCUUCGGGUUGUAAACCGCUUUCGCCUGUGACGAAGCGUGAGUGACGGUAAUGGGUAAAGAAGCACCGGCUAACUACGUG
rnacentral:rRNA from 1 species